rnacentral:rRNA from 1 species
GACGAACGCUGGCGGCGUGCUUAACACAUGCAAGUCGAACGGAAAGGCCCUGCUUUUGUGGGGUGCUCGAGUGGCGAACGGGUGAGUAACACGUGAGUAACCUGCCCUUGACUUUGGGAUAACUUCAGGAAACUGGGGCUAAUACCGGAUAGGAGCUCCUGCUGCAUGGUGGGGGUUGGAAAGUUUCGGCGGUUGGGGGUGGACUCGCGGCUUAUCAGCUUGUUGGUGGGGUAGUGGCUUACCAAGGCUUUGACGGGUAGCCGGCCUGAGAGGGUGACCGGCCACAUUGGGACUGAGAUACGGCCCAGACUCCUACGGGAGGCAGCAGUGGGGAAUAUUGCACAAUGGGCGGAAGCCUGAUGCAGCAACGCCGCGUGCGGGAUGACGGCCUUCGGGUUGUAAACCGCUUUCGCCUGUGACGAAGCGUGAGUGAUGGUAAUGGGUAAAGAAGCACCGGCUAACUACGUG